UACGUAGGGCGCAAGCGUUAUCCGGAAUUAUUGGGCGUAAAGAGCUCGUAGGCGGUUUGUCGCGUCUGCUGUGAAAGCCCGGGGCUCAACCCCGGGUCUGCAGUGGGUACGGGCAGACUAGAGUGCAGUAGGGGAGACUGGAAUUCCUGGUGUAGCGGUGAAAUGCGCAGAUAUCAGGAGGAACACCGAUGGCGAAGGCAGGUCUCUGGGCUGUAACUGACGCUGAGGAGCGAAAGCAUGGGGAGCGAACAGG
rnacentral:rRNA from 2 species